CCUUCAGGGAGUGAGGAAUUUCUCAUUGUGUGGGAGAAAGUGAGGUCACUAGGACAGUGACCUUGGAAGGGUAAUGGGACCCAGCGUCCCCUUCCUGUCUCUUCCUUGAGAGUCACGCUGCUACAGGCCUGAAGAGAACAUCUGCAUUAUCAUCUGUAAAUACAGAAACCUUUACAUCAGGACAGCACAUAUCCAAUCUAGAUGGACCCACAUGACACGUGUGCUCAGAAGUCCCGCGUGAGGCGCUCGGGUAACGAUGCGCACUUUCCAUAUGCGCCAUCUUGGCCCUGAGCUCCACUCUCCCUCCCUGAAGAAACUGAAUGCAAACGGAAGUCUUCACCUGACAGCCUGGUUCCAAUUAGGGACCUGGACGCGUCUCAAAGACUCAGCAAGGCAUCAUCAGAGCAUAAUAAAUAUACCAUGUCAAGACUCUACAAUCCUUCCAAGUGGAUCAUUUCCUCAUUUUCCCUCAACCUCAAUUCCUUCCUUUUUGAAACAGCUCUGCUGAGGUGUAAAAUGCACCUACUGAGCAUCCAGAGUUUGCUCCCAUCUGGUCCGGAAGGUGCAUGUGGGAGUGUGGACAGCGAGGCAGCCAUCAGAAGAUCUUGGGCAGCACCAGUUUCCAGCUGGGUGACACUGGGCAGGAGGCAACUUUCGUUUCAUUUCCAAGCUGAGCUCCUAAUUUCUACUAAGGGGCUACACUGAAGCAUGUACUUCUCCCGGUAGAAUGCCCACUGCAUAUAGAAAGCUCUAAUUUCUGGGCAUACAGAAGGCACAAUAUCUUUUCCUGUGCUUUUCCUUUUUUACAUUUUUGUAAGUGGCACACAGUACUGAUACAAUGUAAUUCAGUGUACAUUAUUUAUACAUUGUGUGAUGGUCAAAUGAGGGCAAUUAGCAUUUCCAUUUCCUUAAACAUUUAUUAUAUCUUUGUGGCAGGAGACUUGAAACUUCCCUAGUUCCAUGUAAGGUACAUAACAAGUGGUUGUGAACUCCAUGCAACCUACUGUGCUGUAAACAUUAGAAUUAAUUCCUCUUAUUUAAAUGGAUUUAGGUACUCAUUAUCCAACAUCCCUCUUCUCUGCUACCCUCUGCAGCCUCUACUCACCAUUAUUCUAUGCUCGAAUUCUAUGAAAUCACUUCUUCAGCUCCCAAGCCUAAGUGACCCAUGUGAUACUUGGCUUUCUGUGUCUGACUCACGUCACUGCAGAUCAUACCCUUCAGUCCCAUUCACACUGCUAAAGACAGGAGGGCUGCAUCUUCUAUGUUUUGUUCCUGGACAAUAUUCCACUGUGUGCUGCACCAUAUCCUCACCCUCCACGCAUUCCUCUGUAGCAGUGAUGGCGAACCUUUUAGAGCUUUCAACGAUACAAACAGCUCACUGUAGCACAUGUGCCAUAGGUUCGCCACCACUGAUCUUAACAUCACAGUGGAUUCUACAUCUCAGGUCCUCUGAGGGGUGCUCUGUAGACAUGGGCACAGGCAGCUCUUGGAUCUGCUCACUCCAUUUCUUCUGGAUAUAUGCCUGGGAGUGGAUAGCUGGAUCUUAGGGCACCUUCUAUUUCCAGGGCUUUGAGGAAUUUCCAUAGACUUGUGGCCCCUCCCUUAUUACUGCCAAUUUCUCCUCUUUAGAAGUAGAGAACUUGUUUUUUUGGUUUCAUAGGUCUACAGGUGGUGGGGGAUUUUGUCCCUGGAUAAAUGGUGCCCAGGGUUUCAGUAAUGCAGAUAACGAAGACGAUGAAGAACUGAUGAAGUUGACUUGAGAUUUAAGCCUAAUGUGAGGAGUUGAGACUUUGAGGCAUGUUGGGGUAGGGUGAAUGUAUUUCACACACAGAAUGGGCAUCAAUGUUUGGGGCUAGAGGGCAGACUGUGUGGGUGAGUGGUGACCCCCCCCCCCGACACAUCUUCAUCUCCUAAAAUUGUACACGUGACCUAACUUGGAAAAAGUCUUCGUAGAUGUCAUUAAAGAUCCAGAGAUGAAGACACGCUAGAUUUUGCGGUAGGCCCUACAUCCAAACAUCUGUGCACUCAUUGAUUCCAAAGGACAGAUGCGACAGAGAUGAGGAAAGGCCGCAAAAGGGGGCAGAGAUCCCAGGGAGGUGGCCAGAAGCCCAGUAGAGUGCUAGCUGCCAGUACUGAAGACACAGGGACGGAACCCCCCACCCCCAGGCCUCCAAGGAGAGGAGUGACCCCACAGUGCCUUAAUUUUGGACUUCUGGUCUUUGGGCUAGGAAAGAGCAAUUGUCUGGUGGUUUAAGAUACACAAUAUGGAGUAAUUUCUUAUGUCAACCACUACCAUGUUACCAUCUACCCAUAUAGGUACUUUCUUUAAAAGAAAAAACUUGCUAAUUUGAUAUAUGUCCAAAAUUUAUCCCUUCAAUCUGUAUGUUAUCUAUUUAGAACUGGUACUGACUUUAAAAAUAUUAAACAUCUUAAUAUAUUUUCA